UACGAGGGGAGCAAGCGUUGUUCGGAUUUACUGGGCGUAAAGGGCGCGUAGGCGGCUCUACAAGUCACUUGUGAAAUCUCCGGGCUUAACUCGGAACGGUCAAGUGAAACUGUCAUGCUAGAGUGCAGAAGGGGCAAUCGGAAUUCUUGGUGUAGCGGUGAAAUGCGUAGAUAUCAAGAGGAACACCUGAGGUGAAGACGGGUUGCUGGGCUGACACUGACGCUGAGGCGCGAAAGCCAGGGGAGCAAACGGG
rnacentral:rRNA from 1 species